UACGUAGGGGGCGAGCGUUAUCCGGAUUUACUGGGUGUAAAGGGAGCGUAGACGGCGAUGCAAGCCAGAUGUGAAAGCCCGGGGCUCAACCCCGGGACUGCAUUUGGAACUGUGUGGCUGGAGUGUCGGAGAGGCAAGUGGAAUUCCUAGUGUAGCGGUGAAAUGCGUAGAUAUUAGGAGGAACACCAGUGGCGAAGGCGGCUUGCUGGACGAUGACUGACGUUGAGGCUCGAAAGCGUGGGGAGCAAACAGG
rnacentral:rRNA from 1 species